UACGUAGGUGGCAAGCGUUGUCCGGAUUUAUUGGGUUUAAAGGGUGCGUAGGCGGCCCUAUAAGUCAGUGCUGAAAUAUCCCGGCUUAACCGGGAGGGUGGCAUUGAUACUGUAGGGCUUGAGUGUAGUCGAGGUAGGCGGAAUUGACGGUGUAGCGGUGAAAUGCUUAGAUAUCGUCAAGAACACCUAUAGCGAAGGCAGCUUACUAGGCUGUAACUGACGCUGAGGCACGAAAGUGUGGGGAUCAAACAGG
rnacentral:rRNA from 1 species